UUUAUUUCUUUUGUUUUCUUUAUUUUGUUUUUCAGUUUUUCUUUGUUUUUGGUUUUUGUUUGCUUCCUUAAAUAAAAUAAAAAAAUUGCAUGUUUUUUCCUUUGAUUUUUGAGUUACAAUCAUGAGUAUUUUUCUUAGUUCUCUUGAAUAAAGUCUUAUGGUGUGACGUGAAAAAUUUGAUGUGUAUUUUUAGUAUGAUAGAUAGGACUAAACUCUAAAUUGUAUAUCUUUAGCAGUAGAUCAUUAACCUUUGUGAGCUUUGAGCCUUAUAUGGAUAACGUAUACAAAUCCAUCUCUUUCUUUCUUGUGUGAUUCACUCAUGUCUGUUAGUCUCUAGAACUUGAUUUGAAUCUUGUUGAUGUUGUUGUUUACUUUUGCAUACUGAUAUGAUAAAUACAAGUUUGUUUUUUUAGUCAGUUAACCAAAAAUCCAACCCUAAAAUAAUUUUAUCCCUUGUUUGAAACCCCCUUGAGCCUAUUAUCCUUUUUUUAUUUAAAACUCAUUACUAGCCGAGAAGUGAAAAACAAUGUUAUCACCCUAUUCAAAGGGUUGAAAGAGUCUUGUUUGGAGUUGUGUGGGGUUGAAUAAUUAUGUUUGUAAUAUUUCAGAAGUUGGUAGAAAAAGAAAAGAAAAAUAGAAAAAGAAAAUAGAAAAAAAAAU
rnacentral:lncRNA from 1 species